rnacentral:rRNA from 1 species
GUGGGGAAUCUUGCGCAAUGGGCGAAAGCCUGACGCAGCCAUGCCGCGUGGAUGAUGAAGGUCUUAGGAUUGUAAAAUCCUUUCACCGGUGAAGAUAAUGACUGUAGCCGGAGAAGAAGCCCCGGCUAACUUCGUGCCAGCAGCCGCGGUAAUACGUAGGGGGCUAGCGUUGCUCGGAAUUACUGGGCGUAAAGGGAGCGUAGGCGGACAUUUAAGUCAGGGGUGAAAUCCCGAGGCUCAACCUCGGAACUGCCUUUGAUACGGGGUGUCUUGAGUGUGGGAGAGGUGAGUGGAACUCCGAGUGUAGAGGUGAAAUUCGUAGAUAUUCGGAAGAACACCAGUGGCGAAGGCGACUCACUGGCUCAUUACUGACGCUGAGGCUCGAAAGCGUGGGGAGCAAACAGGAUUAGAUACCCGUGUAGUCC